rnacentral:rRNA from 1 species
CCCCUACGGGGCGCAGCAGUGGGGAGUAUUGCACAAUGGGGGAAACCCUGAUGCAGCGACGCCGCGUGAGUGAGGAAGUAUUUCGGUAUGUAAAGCUCUAUCCGCAGGGAAGAAAAUGACGGUACCUGACCAAGAAGCCCCGGCUAACUACGUGCCAGCAGCCGCGGUAAUACGUAGGGGGCAAGCGUUAUCCGGAUUUACUGGGUGUAAAGGGAGCGUAGACGGCUGUGCAAGUCUGAAGUGAAAUGCCGGGGCCCAACCCCGGAACUGCUUUGGAGACUGUACAGCUAGAGUGCAGGAGGGGG